GACGAACGCUGGCGGCGUGCUUAACACAUGCAAGUCGAACGAUGAAAGAGGAGCUUUCUCCUCUGGACUAUUGCCGAACGGGGGUGUAACACAUGAGCAUACUCCCCCUGACUCCCGAGUAUCUCCGCGGAACUCUAGCGCUUACCGGGUAUGCGCUGAUCAGCCGCCUGUUUCGGUAGUAAAAAAUUUCGGUAAGGUCUGAUCUCGCGGCAUAUCAGCUGCUUGGGGAGGUAAGUGCGCACGAAGGCGACGACGGGUAGCCGGCCUGAGAGGGUGAACGGCGACAUUAGGACUACGAGAGGGAGCAGAAGGCAACGGGCGGCAGUAGUCGAGAACAUGACGCAAUGGGGGCAAGCCUGAUGCAGCAACGCCGCGUGAGUGAUGACGGCCUUCGGGUUGUAAACCUCUUUUAGCAGGGAAGAAGCGAAAGUGACGGUACCUGCAGAAAAAGCGCCGGCUAACUACGUG
rnacentral:rRNA from 1 species